CAGAGUUAUCCAACUCCCAAACCCAUGUGAACUUAUCUCUUUGUUGCCUCGGCGCAAGCUACCCGGGACCUCGCGCCCCGGGGGGCCCGCCGGCGGACAAACCAAACUCUGUUAUCUUCGUUGAUUAUCUGAGUGUCUUAUUUAAUAAGUCA
rnacentral:misc_RNA from 1 species